rnacentral:rRNA from 1 species
AUGGUUACUGGAGUAUAUGGGCCUCAAGCGGAUAAUGAGAAAUCCAACUUUUUGCUGGAAAUGAGACACCUGAAAACAGUUUGCUCUCCGGAAUGGCUUAUCCUUGGGGAUUUUAACCUGAUCAGCAAGGCAGAUGAAAAGAGCAACCCAAACAUCAAUCUGAGACUGCUGCGAAGCUUUAGAGCAGUGAUUGACGAUCUCAACCUCAAAGAAUUACCACUCACUGGUCGACGCUUCACUUGGUCCAACGAGAGGCUCAACUGCACCAUGACAAAGAUUGACAAGGCUCUUUUUACCGAGGAAUGGGAGGCUAAAUUUCCUGACUUCCAAAUGCUUGCUGGGUCUACAGAAAUAUCUGACCACUGCCCUCUAAUUCUC